ACUCCUACGGGAGGCAGCAGUGGGGAAUAUUGCACAAUGGGCGCAAGCCUGAUGCAGCCAUGCCGCGUGUGUGAAGAAGGCCUUCGGGUUGUAAAGCACUUUCAGUCGUGAGGAAGGUAGUGUAGUUAAUAGCUGCAUUAUUUGUACGUUAGCGACAGAAGAAGCACCGGCUAACUCCGUGCCAGCAGCCGCGGUAAUACGGAGGGUGCGAGCGUUAAUCGGAAUUACUGGGCGUAAAGCGCAUGCAGGUGGUUGUUAAGUCAGAUGUGAAAGCCCGGGGCUCAACCUCGGAAUAGCAUUUGAAACUGGCAGACUAGAGUACUGUAGAGGGGGUAGGAAUUUCAGGUGUAGCGGUGAAAUGCGUAGAGAUCUGAAGGAUACCGGUGGCGAAGCGGCCCCUGGACAGAUACUGACACUCAGAUGCGAAAGCGUGGGAGCAAACAGGAUUAGAUACCCCUGGUAGACUGUCA
rnacentral:rRNA from 1 species